UUUACUAUGGAGAGUUUGAUCCUGGCUCAGGAUGAACGCUGGCGGUAUGCUUAACACAUGCAAGUCGAACGGUCUCUUCGGAGAU
rnacentral:rRNA from 3 species